AUUCUUAUACGCAGUUCGAUGGAGUUCGUCCUUGUGAUUCUAAUGCACCGUAUCAAUAAAAAUCUAUUCUGUUGACUAGGGUUAUCAACUGAUGAAAUGUUGUACAAAUCGUCAUUGUAGUUUCCGAGAAAACCAGAAGAUUGUGAUUGUGACUCACAAAAAAAAGAAAAUUUUAAUUGUUUGUGCUUUAAAUAAACUUAUAUUCGAUCAAACCAGUUCGAUAGAGUAGACCCUUGCGAUUCUAACGCAUAAUAUUCUUCUUUUUCCGUUGCUCACAUGCCAUUAAAAUUACAGCAUUUCAUUUAGUCAAUGCAGCAACCUAAAUUAUGUUACUGGUGCGUGUACAUGGUGGAGUAAACAUGCCAGAAGAGGCAAAUUAUGUAGAAUGAUUUGUAUCCUUAUAAUAGCUACAUUAUAUUUUUCAGUGUUAACGAUUGGGAUAUACCCUAUACUGUCUGAAGAAACAAUUUUGAAUUUGAUUUAGUGGUGGGCACUUUCCAUGGUCAGGUCCUGGGCUCAUAUCCUUCUAAGCUAUGUCCUAGCAGGACGCGCAACGAGGUCCACCGCAGCAGCCACGGUACGGCGGGCAAGCAGUUGAACAGCUGAUCCGGCAGCAGAGGGCGCUUGGGCAUCCUGUCCAGUAGUUGAAACAAAAGUUGGUGCAUUGAACGCCCGCAGGAGCGCCACAGCAGCCACCUGGAGUCCAGCACAUGUUGAGAGCUUACGGAUAGAGGUAAGUUGACCAAGGAAUCGAUGUUAUGCAAAGUUUUUUUUUUGCCUGAGUGUUGCACUGCUGCCAGACUCGAAUCCGAACUAGUUCUGCUAA